rnacentral:tRNA from 1 species
GUUCUGAUGAAGUUGGUUGUUCGGCUGUUAACCGAAGGGUUGCUAGUUCGAAUCUAGCCCGGGGAGCCA